rnacentral:rRNA from 1 species
CCCGCACAAGCGGUGGAGCAUGUGGUUUAAUUCGACGAUACGCGAAGAACCUUACCUGGCCUUGACAUAGUGAGAACCUAAUAGAGAUAUAAGGGUGCUAGUUUACUAGAGCUUACAUACAGGUGCUGCACGGCUGUCGUCAGCUCGCGUCGUGAGAUGUUGGGUUAAGUCCCGCAACGAGCGCAACCCUCGUGUUUAGUUACUAACAGUUCGGCUGAGGACUCUAGACAGACUGCCUGGGUAACCAGGAGGAAGGUGAGGACGACGUCAAGUCAUCAUGGCCCUUACGGCCAGGGCUACACACGUGCUACAAUGGGGUAUACAAAGAGCCGCAAUACCGUGAGGUGGAGCAAAUCUCAUAAAAUAUCUCCCAGUUCGGAUAGCAGUCUGCAACUCGACUGCUUGAAGUUGGAAUCGCUAGUAAUCGUAGAUCAGCAAUGCUACGGUGAAUACGUUCCCGGGUCUUGUACUCACCGCCCGUCACACCAUGGGAAUUGAAUUCAUUCGAAGCGGGGAUGCUAAAAUAGCUACCUUCCACAGUGGAUUUAGUAACUAGGGUGAAGUCGUAACAAGGUA